rnacentral:rRNA from 1 species
UUGGAGGGCAAGUCUGGUGCCAGCAGCCGCGGUAAUUCCAGCUCCAAUAGCGUAUAUUAAAGUUGCUGCAGUUAAAAAGCUCGUAGUUGAAUUUCGGGACCAUCAUGUCGGUCGUGCCUCGGUACGUACUGGUAUUGUUGGUUUCUCCCUUCUGACGAACCAUGAUGUCAUUUAUUUGGUGUUGUGGGGAAUCAGGACUGUUACUUUGAAAAAAUUAGAGUGUUUAAAGCAGGCUAACGCCUGAAUACAUUAGCAUGGAAUAAUGAAAUAGGACGUUCGAUCCUAUUUUGUUGGUUUCUAGGAUUGACGUAAUGAUUAAUAGGGAUAGUUGGGGGCAUUAGUAUUCAAUUGUCAGAGGUGAAAUUCUUGGAUUUAUUGAAGACUAACUACUGCGAAAGCAUUUGCCAAGGAUGUUUUCAUUAAUCAAGAACGAAAGUUAGGGGAUCGAAGACGAUCAGAUACCGUCGUAGUCUUAACCAUAAACUAUGCCGACUAGGGAUCGGGUGAUGUUAAUUUUUUAAUGACUCAUUCGGCGCCUUACGGGAAAC